UUUGGUUUUGUGUCCGUUGUUCGUUCUUUGCUUUAGAGUUUUAGUGUCGUGUCAAGGAAGGGAGUUGCUUCUUGUGGCUGAAUUUCAUCAUUAAUUUCUUCUCUUCUGUCAUACUUGAGGACAAGUAUGAUCUAAGUGUGAGGGGAUUUGAUGUGUGUAUUUUAGCUACUUAGUUUGGUGUGUGUUUCGCCAUGAUUUUUAUAUGAUUUUACAUGGUUUGUGACAUUUUGGGCAGGAAUUAGAUGGUUGGAGAUGGAUGCUCGUGGAUGGAAGAAGUUGUGAAAGUCGAGAAAUUGGUUGAAGAAGUUGGUGAAUUUGUGGAGAAUUUUAGAGAUUGGGCUUGAAGAUGAUUGUUCCAAAUUUAAUUAAGUCCAAAACUCAUAUUUUUAAGUAUUUUGGGUUUGAUUUUUAUUUAGGGCCGAAGCCCGUAGGGAUAAGAGAGGCGGUGGCUUAAGGGAGUCUUAAUUCCCUAAUUUUUGUUUCCAUAUAGCCGCAUAGUUAUUAUAUUGAUAGGAGGAUUCUGGUUUUAUCAUUAUC
rnacentral:lncRNA from 1 species